rnacentral:rRNA from 1 species
AUUGAACGCUGGCGGCAGGCUUAACACAUGCAAGUCGAGCGGAGCGAGGGUGCUUGCACCUUAGCUUAGCGGCGGACGGGUGAGUAAUGCUUAGGAAUCUGCCUAUUAGUGGGGGACAACAUUCCGAAAGGAAUGCUAAUACCGCAUACGCCCUACGGGGGAAAGCAGGGGAUCGUCGGACCUUGCGCUAAUAGAUGAGCCUAAGUCGGAUUAGCUAGUUGGUGGGGUAAAGGCCUACCAAGGCGACGAUCUGUAGCGGGUCGGAGAGGAUGAUCCGCCACACUGGGACUGAGACACGGCCCAGACUCCUACGGGAGGCAGCAGUGGGGAAUAUUGGACAAUGGGCGGAAGCCUGAUCCAGCCAUGCCGCGUGUGUGAAGAAGGCCUUUUGGUUGUAAAGCACUUUAAGCGAGGAGGAGGCUACUUAGAUUAAUACUCUAGGAUAGUGGACGUUACUCGCAGAAUAAGCACCGGCUAACUCUGUGCCAGCCGCCGCAGUAACAC